AGGCAGCUCAUGGGGUCAGUGCAUCAUGUUUCAUCUUCAACCUCCUGCCCGUCGCCGCGUUUUCCCCGGCGAGAACGUGCGCGCCUCCCGCAGCUCCCCGCGCGUCCAGGUGAGGUGCAUCUGGGGGAGGUGAACUUCCACCGCCUUAUCCUCAGCGCCCGAGGCCUAUCCCUCUCCCUCUGCAUCGCUAUCUCCCGAGAAACCACCGCGAGUACACCGGUCGCCGCCGCUCAAUCCGCCUCGGUCGCUCGUCCCCUCGGCCUAUAAAAGGGACCCCCGAGAUUCCCCAGACUCCACCACAGUCCCGCCACUCGGCCCCCUCGAUUUGAGCUCUAGGGAGUCCAAAUUUCGUGACCGAAGUUCACCGCCGUCCGCAACUCCGGCGACGAUUCUGACGCCGGUGAAGCUCGGGAGCCCUCACACCAACGGGAGCACGCCGGCGCUGUGGAUGUCGCUCUCGUCGUUGUCCAACCUCGCCGGAAGUAGCUGACCGUCGCAAGCACUUCGCCCUACAGAGCCGUCCCUCAUUGGCACCUUACUCGUCGGACCUCCGCUGCCGCGAAAUCGACCACGAUCGAGCUCUAGCAGCGAAACACAGGCACCUACCACAUUACGGAGAUUUAUCGUGAGAGUAUUUCGGAGACAAGAAAGAGUUAAUAGUUCAUCAAGAAGAGGCAAGUUACAUCUACAUGUCUAUCCCAUUUAUUUUUGCUAUGCUAUUUUGAUUAUAAAAGUAGGAAUGCAUGCGAUAGUUUUAUUUUGUUAGCCAAGUAUUUUUAGAAAUGGCGAUGUUUUAUAGAGUUAUGUCCUAUGGUAGAAAUAAGCCGUAGGAAUCAUCACCCACUUUGUAACCUUAGGUAAAUGUAUGCUAGAUUAAGUUCUAGUAAAGUUUUGAACUAUAUAGUUAUGCUUAGUCAUGCUAAAAUAAAAUCCGUUGGGGGGUUCAAAUGAAAUAGUGAUUACAAAAUAGAAAUGGUUUGUGAAAUGUGUUUACCAAAUUAAAAUGUAAAAUUAUUUCGUCCUGGGCGGAGUGGUAUGAUGGGUCAUCGCGUGUGGAGCUGUGUGCUCAAAUUGGUUGGGUCCGCCGCCCAGGGACCCCUAAAAGAACAAAUUCAUAUUUAGAAUUGCUCAGUUGUUUCGUGCAACCACAUGUCAUAUGGGCUCUGGCUUGGUUGAUUAUCUUGUGGAAACCUACUUAAGGACCGUCAUCGGUAUGAGACUUUGUGUCUAUUUUGGAGCGGGCGUGCCUGGAAAUAAGUAGUUAGCCAUUUGGGAAAGACCUCGGCAUAACCUUCGGGUUGUGCCAUGUGGUGAAAGUGUGCAACCCCUGCAGGGUGUCGAACUAAUCGAUUAGCCGUGCCCACGGUUACGGGCGAAGCUGAGUAACCUUUACCUGAAGAUGUCUCUUCUCAACUUUGUCUUUCUAAACAUAAAUUGAAUUUCAAACCCUAUGUCCGUGUGUCGUUCAUAGGUGGGAUUUUGGGGAAAGCCCUGUGUUCGUGUGUCGCUCACGGGUACUUUCAUCUAGGCUAGUUGGACUGUGUGACCUCUAGUCAUAUAUUACUUGAUAAAAUUGUUUAUUAAAGAUAGGACGAGUUAGAACUUUGGAAAUGUUAAAAUGUGAUUUAUUGAUGUAAAAUAUUGUUUUGCGCAAAUGUUAAACCCUAUAGCCAUUUCCUUUGAUAUCCCUAAGCAUGUAGAAAUAGGUAUAUUAUUGCAUUGGUGUAACUUGCCACACAUUCAAAGUGUUGACCACUCUCGUGGCUGCAACGUCUCAUGUUGCAGGUUGUUCCGAUGACGAGUGAGAUACGAUGUUAGGGUCACGAUGCUCCAGUCGAUUGCCUGUGGCACAUUUGCUGGAUUCGCCGCUUUAUUUGUCUUCCGCUGUUCAUUUUGGCCUACGGGCAUUUAUGUAAUAAAUAACUAUGUAUCGGAUUUGAUGCGUUGUAAUAAUGAUAUGACUGUGAUAUUUAUCU